GUCCUAGCCGUAAACGGUGAUCACUAGGUGUUGGAGGCAUCGACCCCUCCAGUGCCGCAGCUAACGCAUUAAGUGAUCCGCCUGGGUAGUACGGCCGCAAGGUUGAAACUCAAAGGAAUUGACGGGGGCCCGCACAAGCGGUGGAGCAUGUGGUUUAAUUCGACGCAACGCGAAGAACCUUACCCAGGCUUGACAUGCACUAGACGGGUGUGGAAACACACCUUCCCUUCGGGGCUGGUGCACAGGUGCUGCAUGGCUGUCGU
rnacentral:rRNA from 1 species